UAAAGGAAACUGGAAGGGUCUCUGACCUUCUCCACCUUCCUGUCUCCCGACCCUACUUCUCCCAUGAAAUGAGUCAUAGUAACCAGAAUUCUUCUUCCCCAAGGACUUCCAGCUGUGUUCCUUCAGAUGGGUGAGAAAAGUCUGUAAAAAUUGAAAACCAGCUAUUUCUUAGAAAAAACUUCUGUCCCUCAGACUAAAAAGAGAACAUUUUGAAUGACUACAGCCAAUUCCAGUAUCAAGCCUCAUGAAAAAGAAACAGAGUAUAUACUUCAGAUUCUCCAUGGUCCUUUCUCCAGCUCAGGUGAAGUAAAGGAUCUAAAUGCAACCAGGUAUUAAAGUCAGAAGAAACAAAAGGUUCUUCCACUUCACAACCACCCAAAUAACAAA